ensembl:rRNA 5S_rRNA 5S ribosomal RNA
GCUUACGGCCACACCGGCCUGAGUACGCCUGAUCUCGUCCGAUCUCGGAAGCUAAGCAGGGUCUGGCCUGGUUAGUACUUGGAUGGGAGACCGCCUGGGAAUACCAGGUGCUGUAAGCU